GAUGAACGCUGGCGGCGUGCUUAACACAUGCAAGUCGAACGAAGCACUCUAUUUGAUUUUCUUCGGAAAUGAAGAUUUUGUGACUGAGUGGCGGACGGGUGAGUAACGCGUGGGUAACCUGCCUCAUACAGGGGGAUAACAGUUGGAAACGACUGCUAAUACCGCAUAAGCGCACAGGAUUGCAUGAUCCAGUGUGAAAAACUCCGGUGGUAUGGGAUGGACCCGCGUCUGAUUAGCCAGUUGGCAGGGUAACGGCCUACCAAAGCGACGAUCAGUAGCCGACCUGAGAGGGUGACCGGCCACAUUGGGACUGAGACACGGCCCAAACUCCUACGGGAGGCAGCAGUGGGGAAUAUUGCACAAUGGGGGAAACCCUGAUGCAGCGACGCCGCGUGAGCGAAGAAGUAUUUCGGUAUGUAAAGCUCUAUCAGCAGGGAAGAAGAAUGACGGUACCUGACUAAGAAGCAC
rnacentral:rRNA from 1 species